rnacentral:rRNA from 1 species
CCUACGGGAGGCAGCAGUGGGGAAUAUUGCACACUGGGGGAAACCCUGAUGCAGCGACGCCGCGUGAGUGAAGAAGUAAUUCGUUAUGUAAAGCUCUAUCAGCAGGGAAGAAAAUGACGGUACCUGAGUAAGAAGCCCCGGCUAACUACGUGCCAGCAGCCGCGGUAAUACGUAGGGGGCAAGCGUUAACCGGAUUUACUGGGUGUAAAGGGAGCGUAGACGGCAGUGCAAGUCUGGAGUGAAAGGCGGGGGCGCAACCCCCGGACUGCUCUGGAAACUGUACGGCUGGAGUGCAGGGGAGGUAAGUGGAAUUCCUAGUGUAGCGGUGAAAUGCGUAGAUAUUAGGAGGAACACCAGUGGCGAAGGCGGCUUACUGGACUGUAACUGACGUUGAGGCUCGAAAGCGUGGGGAGCAAACAGGAUUAGAUACCCCGGUAGUC